UGCGUAACAGCUCACUGGUCGAGUGGACAUGCGCCGACAAUACACGGGGCUAAGCUGGACACCGAAGCGGCGGGAUUUUAAUUCAUUAGAAUCGGUAGGGGAGCUUCCCAUGGGCGGAGAAGCCGGAGGGCGACCGACGGUGGAGCGCAUGGGAGUGAGAAUGCUGGCAUGAGUAGCGAGAGACGAGAGAGUAACUCGUCCGCCGUGAACCCGAGGUUUCCUGGGCAAGGCUAAUCCUCCCAGGGUCAGUCGGGGGCUAAGGCGAGGCCGGGAGGCGUAGCCGACGCGCAGCAGGCAGACAUUCCUGCACCGCGCACGCGGCGCUACGACCGACGGGGCGACGGAUGGGGGUGGCUCGGCGGGGUUCUGGACGUCCCCGUGAUGGAGCGCGGCCCGCGGACCAGGGAAAUCCGGUCCGCAGAAGGGCGAGGCUCCGGACGAAGCGACUGAGCGAAGCGAGUGAGCCCGAGGUCCCUAGAAAAACCCCUAGGCAGGCGCGUGCGCGCCCGUACCGCAAACCGACACAGGUGGGUGGGUAGAACAUACCGAGGCGAUCGGGUCAACCAUGGUCAAGGAACUCGGCACAAUGGCCCCGUAACUUCGGGAGAAGGGGUGCCCGCGCGUACGUGAACGGACUUGCUCCGGGAGCGGAGGCGGGCCGCAGUGGAGAGGCCCAAGCGACUGUUUACCAAAAACACAGGACUCUGCAGAAGCCGCAAGGCGACGUAUAGGGUCUGACGCCUGCCCGGUGCCGGAAGGUCACGCGGAGGAGUUAGCGCAUCGCGCGAAGCCCCGAAGCCAAGCCCCGGUAAACGGCGGCCGUAACUAUAACGGUCCUAAGGUAGCGAAAUUCCUUGUCGGGUAAGUUCCGACCUGCACGAAAGGCGCAACGACUUGGGCGCUGUCUCGACCAUGGACCCGGUGAAAUUGCACUGGUCGUGAAGAUGCGACUUACCCGCGGAAGGACGGAAAGACCCCGUGAACCUUCACUGCAGCUUGGCAUUGGCCGCUGGUCCCGCGUGUAGAGGAUAGGCAGGAGGCUAAGAUCCGGAGGCGCCAGCCCCCGGGGAGCCGCCCUUGGAAUACUGCCCUCGCGCGACCGGCGUCCUAACCCGAGGCCGUCAACCGGCUCGGGGACCGUGCCAGGCGGGCAGUUUGACUGGGGCGGUCGCCUCCUAAAGGGUAACGGAGGCGCGCGAAGGUCCGCUCGGGACGGUCGGCAACCGUCCUUUUGAAUGCAAGAGUACAAGCGGGCUUGACUGCGAGGCCCACAA
rnacentral:rRNA from 1 species